GAUGAAGAACGUAGUGAAAUGCGAUACGUAAUGUGAAUUGCAAAUUCAGUGAAUCAUCGAGUCUUUGAACGCACAUUGCGCCCCCUGGUAUUCCGGGGGGCAUGCCUGUCCGAGCGUCAUUGCUGCCCUCAAGCACGGCUUGUGUGUUGGGCCCCGUCCUCCGAUCCCGGGGGACGGGCCCGAAAGGCAGCGGCGGCACCGCGUCCGGUCCUCGAGCGUAUGGGGCUUUGUCACCCGCUCUGUAGGCCCGGCCGGCGCUUGCCGAUCAACCCAAAUUUUUUAUCCAGGUUGACCUCAGAUCAGGUAGGGAUACCCGCUGAACUUAAGCAUAUCAAUAAGCGGAGGA
rnacentral:misc_RNA from 1 species